rnacentral:rRNA from 1 species
AAAUUGAAGAGUUUGAUCAUGGCUCAGAUUGAACGCUGGCGGCAGGCCUAACACAUGCAAGUCGAGCGGUAACACAGAGAGCUUGCUCUCGGGUGACGAGCGGCGGACGGGUGAGUAAUGUCUGGGAAACUGCCUGAUGGAGGGGGAUAACUACUGGAAACGGUAGCUAAUACCGCAUAACGUCGCAAGACCAAAGUGGGGGACCUUCGGGCCUCAUGCCAUCAGAUGUGCCCAGAUGGGAUUAGCUAGUAGGUGGGGUAACGGCUCACCUAGGCGACGAUCCCUAGCUGGUCUGAGAGGAUGACCAGCCACACUGGAACUGAGACACGGUCCAGACUCCUACGGGAGGCAGCAGUGGGGAAUAUUGCACAAUGGGCGCAAGCCUGAUGCAGCCAUGCCGCGUGUGUGAAGAAGGCCUUCGGGUUGUAAAGCACUUUCAGCGGGGAGGAAGGCGGUGAGGUUAAUAACCUCACCGAUUGACGUUACCCGCAGAAGAAGCACCGGCUAACUCCGUGCCAGCAGCCGCGGUAAUACGGAGGGUGCAAGCGUUAAUCGGAAUUACUGGGCGUAAAGCGCACGCAGGCGGUCUGUCAAGUCGGAUGUGAAAUCCCCGGGCUCAACCUGGGAACUGCAUUCGAAACUGGCAGGCUAGAGUCUUGUAGAGGGGGGUAGAAUUCCAGGUGUAGCGGUGAAAUGCGUAGAGAUCUGGAGGAAUACCGGUGGCGAAGGCGGCCCCCUGGACAAAGACUGACGCUCAGGUGCGAAAGCGUGGGGAGCAAACAGGAUUAGAUACCCUGGUAGUCCACGCCGUAAACGAUGUCGAUUUGGAGGUUGUGCCCUUGAGGCGUGGCUUCCGGAGCUAACGCGUUAAAUCGACCGCCUGGGGAGUACGGCCGCAAGGUUAAAACUCAAAUGAAUUGACGGGGGCCCGCACAAGCGGUGGAGCAUGUGGUUUAAUUCGAUGCAACGCGAAGAACCUUACCUGGUCUUGACAUCCACAGAACUUAGCAGAGAUGCUUUGGUGCCUUCGGGAACUGUGAGACAGGUGCUGCAUGGCUGUCGUCAGCUCGUGUUGUGAAAUGUUGGGUUAAGUCCCGCAACGAGCGCAACCCUUAUCCUUUGUUGCCAGCGGUUAGGCCGGGAACUCAAAGGAGACUGCCAGUGAUAAACUGGAGGAAGGUGGGGAUGACGUCAAGUCAUCAUGGCCCUUACGACCAGGGCUACACACGUGCUACAAUGGCAUAUACAAAGAGAAGCGACCUCGCGAGAGCAAGCGGACCUCAUAAAGUAUGUCGUAGUCCGGAUUGGAGUCUGCAACUCGACUCCAUGAAGUCGGAAUCGCUAGUAAUCGUAGAUCAGAAUGCUACGGUGAAUACGUUCCCGGGCCUUGUACACACCGCCCGUCACACCAUGGGAGUGGGUUGCAAAAGAAGUAGGUAGCUUAACCUUCGGGAGGGCGCUUACCACUUUGUGAUUCAUGACUGGGGUGAAGUCGUAACAAGGUAACCGUAGGGGAACCUGCGGUUGGAUCACCUCCUUA